rnacentral:snoRNA from 1 species
AACCCAUGGUGAGGGCAUCGUUUCAAUAAGUCCUUAUACCUCUCCCAUGCAUCAUAUAGAGUCUCUAAAUUGAUCUUAACAAAAGGAGAGAUAUCAUUCCUUAACUU